rnacentral:rRNA from 1 species
GACGAACGCUGGCGGCGUGCUUAACACAUGCAAGUCGAACGGUGAACCUCUUCGGAGGGGAUCAGUGGCGAACGGGUGAGUAACACGUGGGCAACCUGCCCCCGGCUCUGGGAUAACUCCAAGAAAUUGGGGCUAAUACCGGAUGUUCACCGCUUCCCGCAUGGGUGGUGGUGGAAAGGGUUUCCGGCUGGGGAUGGGCCCGCGGCCUAUCAGCUUGUUGGUGGGGUAGUGGCCUACCAAGGCGACGACGGGUAGCCGGCCUGAGAGGGUGACCGGCCACACUGGGACUGAGACACGGCCCAGACUCCUACGGGAGGCAGCAGUGGGGAAUAUUGCGCAAUGGGCGGAAGCCUGACGCAGCGACGCCGCGUGGGGGAUGACGGCCUUCGGGUUGUAAACCUCUUUCAGCAGGGACGAAGCGCAAGUGACGGUACCUGCAGAAGAAGCACCGGUCAACUACGUG